ACUGGUGAUUGAUAUGCGGCUGCAUACCAGAACGAGAGCUCGUGAUGACUGAAUUGGAGAAAAUGCCCCACAUAUUCAGAGCACCAAAUAAGGUAAGAGAACAAAAGAAAGAUGGAGCAGAGGAAAGAGAUCCUAUGGAGGACAACUACCAUAAAGAAAAAACAAAAGACUGACUCGAAAAGAGCUGACAACGUCCCCAAAAGACAGUGUCUAACUGAAGAAGAGGAAAGGACUCAAGAAGACCUGAAAGGAAUGAU